rnacentral:misc_RNA from 1 species
CUUCAUGGGCUAAAUCUCAUGAAGAUUUAUUUGUGGGGAAGUGCUAGCUGGAUGUGCCUUGGAACACUUUGUAAUUCUGUCUAUGUAGAUCAAAUGUUUGGGGUCCCAUACCAGAAGUGAUCUCCUUUGGAAAGGUGCAUGAUUCCAACUUCUCUUGCAAGUUUGGCAUCCAUCUUUGACGAUGAUGAAAAAAGGCUGAGAAAAAAAAAUUGCUGAAACAAAUUUGAAUGCCAAAUUCCUAUAUCUAACAGCAAACAGGCAUGAUGUGAUAGUUGAUAAACAGAUUAAAUAUGAUUGUGGGCAAACAAGAAUCUAAUCCAUGGUUUCACAAUGUCCUUUUAGCUCAUUGUAGUAAGGAAUUUUAUACUCACAUAAAUGUGCAAUUAUACAUAGACAUGUACAAUACUUAUUUUUUCCUGUAUGGAACUCCCAAUCAUCGUUUUCCAAAGUUUUAAAUUUUUGGUACAGGUGUAAUUGUUUAGAUUUUUGCUUUUAUUAUGCAUUUACUUGAUAGGUUGUGCAUGUACUACACAGCAGGCUAGUGGCUGAACAUGCGGUUUCAAAUGAUUAGUUUGGUGGCCUCCUGCAUUUAUGGUAGUUGUAGUGCAUUCACUGUAGGGAUUAAAUUGGGAGAAGUACAAUCUAAACAGGCUUACCCUGCAAUGCUUAACAUGAAAUACUGUAGAGGAUAGUUUGGAUCAUCGUUUCAUAUAAAAUAUUGAAGUACAUGGAACCCUUUUGCCAUAUAAGGAGCUGGCUUAUUGUAUCAUCAUUAAUGGAGAGACCUGUAUAGCCCCUCACUCAGUUUAAAUAGUUAACAAAAAUCAUUUAUUCAUGUAUUCUUGUGAGAACUCUUCAAUGUUGUCUAUAACCUGGCUUAUGCUUCUAAAUUAUAAGGUGAUUGAAUCUAAAAAGAGGUUAUCUUGCUCUGCAGAUUUCUGGAACAGCAAUGGUUCUGGAUGAGAUCAUCAAUCAUGUACAGUCACUAAAACGCCAAGUGGAGGUCAGACUUCCAUAUCUGAUGCUUUUCAGACUUCCAUAUCUGAUGCUUUUACUUGCUUGCUAUAGGAAUAAUUAAAAUUCUUGAAUUUUAGGAAAUUCAAUUUUUAUUCUUGUUGGGUGAUUUUUCCCUUUUCUUGUGGGUAUAAGAUUUUCCUCUUUCUUAUUUAUUUAUUCUUUCCCGAG